CAACAUAUUAAAUGGAUUUUUGGAGCAGGGAGAUGGAAUAGGAGCUUGCUC
ensembl:miRNA